AACGAACGCUGGCGGCAUGCCUAACACAUGCAAGUCGAACGAAACCGUCCUGUCUAUGUGCGCACGGGGGCGGAACGCGGGGUAACCUGCCCUUAGGUUCGGAAUAACUCCCCUAAAGGGGUGUUAAGACCAGUGAAUGUCUUACGACCAAAGAGUUAUCGCCUUUGGGUGGGCCCGCGUUGGUUUAGCUAGUUGGGAGGGUAAAAGCCUACCAAGGCGACGAUCCAUAGCUGGUCUGAGAGGAUGCCAAGCCACAAUGGCAAUGAGACCCGGCCCAGACUCCUACGGGAGGCAGCAGUAGAGAAUAUUAGAGAAUGAGCGAAAGCGUGAUCAAGCAGUGCCGCGUGAGUGAUGAAGGCCUUAGGGUUGUACAGCUCUUUUACACGGGAUGAUAAUGACAGUACCGGGAGAAUAAGCUCCGGCUAACUACGUG
rnacentral:rRNA from 1 species